rnacentral:tRNA from 1 species
UAACAAUUCAUAUAAUUUAAUUUGUGGAAUUAAAUUUAUAAUCUUAGUUUAUAAUUGUUUA